rnacentral:rRNA from 1 species
ACAGGUGGUGCAUGGUUGUCGUCAGUUCGGGUCGUGAGAUGUUGGUUUAAGUCCCGCAACGAGCGCAACCCUUAAGUUUAGUCGCCAUCAUUAAGUUGGGCACUGUAAGUUGACGGCCGGUGACAAACCGGAGGAAGGUGGGGAGGAAGUUAAUUCAUCACGCCCCUUAUGAUUUGGGCUACACACGUGAUACAAUGGACAAUACAAAGGGAAGCGAAACCGGGAGGUCAAGCAAAUCCCAUAAAGUUGUUGUCAGUUCGGAUUGUAGUAAGCAACUCGAAUAUAUGAAGAGGGAAUCGUUAGUAAUGGUAGAUCAGCAUGCUACGGAGAAUUUGUUCCCUGGUGUUGUACACACCGCCCGUCACACCA